UUGAACGCUGGCGGCAUGCUUUACACAUGCAAGUCGAACGGCAGCGCGGGCUUCGGCCUGGCGGCGAGUGGCGAACGGGUGAGUAAUGCACUGGAACGUGCCCAGUUGUGGGGGAUAGCCCGGCGAAAGCCGGAUCAAUACCGCAUACGACCCGAGGGUGAAAGCGGGGGACCGAAAGGCCUCGCCCCUUUGGAGUGGCCGAUGUCGGAUUAGCUAGUUGGUGGGGUAAAGGCUUACCAAGGCGACGAUCCGUAGCUGGUCUGAGAGGACGACCAGCCACACUGGGACUGAGACACGGCCCAGACUCCUACGGGAGGCAGCAGUGGGGAAUUUUGGACAAUGGGGGCAACCCUGAUCCAGCCAUGCCGCGUGCGUGAAGAAGGCCUUCGGGUUGUAAACCGCUUUUGUUCGGGAAGAAAUCCUCUGAGCUAAUACCCCGGGGGGAUGACGGUACCGGAAGAAUAAGCACCGGCUAACUACGUG
rnacentral:rRNA from 1 species